rnacentral:lncRNA from 1 species
CUCAUCGCUAUGCCUGAGAAGCGCCAUCCUAGGUGUGAGGGGACAGCAGUGACCAGGAGGAGAAGGUCCUUGCCCUGGUGCUUCUGGUCAGUGAUCCAUCGCUGCUCCUGGAGCCUGCUUUGUUUCUCAACUCAACUUAAAUAGCACUAGCUGCCGCCAGCCCUGCCUCACGCCGGAGGAUGUGCGGUUCGUGUGUCUGGCGUGCCAGGCACUGCAGUGAGAACCCCGUGAGCACAUACGGAGCCUUCCUUCAGCAGGCUGUGAUGCUGCUCCUGCCCCCGUCUUCUGGGGGCUGCUCCACCCCACUGUCCCCCGAGCUUGAGCCCCGGUCUGUGUGCGAAACUCCUGGUGUGGUGCGAUUCUGCAGCGGUGGGCCGUGUGGCCUCUGCUUCCUCCUGGACUUCACCACCUCUGAGAGACAGAGGGGCGGACGGCCAUUCUCCUCCCCUGGGACCUCCCCCGGGUCUCCCGGCGUCUCUGGGCCUCGGAGUCCUCCUCUGUGAGCGGAGGGUAGCGGGGCGCCUGCUCACGGGUGCUGUGAAGACGAAAUGCCCUUCAGACCCUGGGCACUGACUGGCGCCCAGGAAGCUGCCGCUUCCUCCCUGCGUUGCCUCUUUCUGUAGGGGGGGGGAAGUGUCCCACGUCUCCUUCCUACCUGCCAGGGUGUGGCUGCUUGCCCUGCCCCUCCUCCCGUCUCCUGCCCACCCUUCCUGCCCCUCUCCAGCCCACCCUCUCCUGGUCCUGGGCCUCUUUCUGUCCCCUGUCCCGGUCCCUGCUCCUGUUCCCGCUCCUCCCGUCCCCACCUGCCAUGUCUAGGCUCUGUGAUGCUUUCUGCACCUUUGACUUCGGGUUCUUGGGAGCAGGUUGUGCAAACUGAACCCCACGGGGGGGGGGUGAGGGCAGCGGGGUGCCCCAGUGAGCAGUCAGUGGAUCGUGUGGCUGUCUCUCGGGCCACCCCUGGGUCUAGUUACAAACUCCCAGAGGAGAACUCCGGUUAUCCAGGCUGGGCAACCCUGGCCUAGCCCUGCCUGAGCCUGGCCCCUUGGCUGUGCUGAGAAGGUGACAUAGGGCGCCGGGUCUGGAGGGGCUACUGCCCACAGCUGUGUGUGGCUGACUGCUGUCCAGGGAGGAGGCCAUGCUGAGCGGGCGGAGGACGGCCGCAACAUGCGGGCCUUGGUGACACCUGUGAGCCAUGCUGUAAGGGGCACUAGCUUCCCAUGUGGGUGACCCCACCCCACAGUCAUGUUUGAACCAGGAGGACAAUCC